GGCAUUUGGCUGAGCCGUCUUGUUGCUGAACUGCUGGGGACUAAGCCAGAAAAGUUCACUCUGCUGGUGGACAAUAAAUCUGCAAUAGCACUAGCAAAGAAUCCCGUUUUUCAUGAUCGGAGCAAACACAUCGACGUGAAGUUUCAUUUCAUUCGAGAUUGCGUCGAGGAGAGGGUACUGGAGAUCGAGCAUGUGGGAACCCAAAAUCAGCUGGCUGAUAUUCUAACUAAGGCACUGGGAAGAGUGCGCUUCUUUGAGAUUCGUCAGAAGCUGGCGAUAAGGAAUGAGAAAACAGAAAGCGCUGCGACAGUUUUCGGCAGCAGAAAAACUUCCUCGUUCGUCUACCUCCGCCUCUCUCUCGCUCGACCUCAUCUGAUCGCUCUCGCAAAGUCCGGCAACGACAGCAUCCACCAAGGUAUUCAUCUAAUUACUCAAUGCGCGGUUUCCUCAUGUAGGUGCUGCUGCGUGAUGUGCACCGGGGAUAAGAGCACUUUGUUUGCACUUGGCUCGCACCAUGUGGUGGUGAUUGUGGUUGCCUACAUUCAGCCAAUAUUGCGUAGGAGGUUGAGGGACAUGAGGGCCGGCAGGAAUUGGACUAUGCCACGCCCGCUGGCCCUUCCCUUCCUUCCACCUCUCCCUCUUGUGCUCCUUCUCCUCCGUACUGUACUUGCUCCGGCUACCGGCGCCCAUGGCCAGCACAACAGCCCCGCUGGUGCAUUCUUUGGUAGGUGCACCCGCUUCCACUUGGGCAGUAGCUGCUUCUCCCCGAAGCCCACCACCGCUACUGGCUGCCGCUGCUACUGCUCUUGCUCGUUGGCGCCGCAUGCUGCUGCUUGCCGAAGCCUCAUGCUGCCGUCAUCCUGGAUCUGGUCGCGAGUCGCGACUCACAACAUGGUUCCCGCCACAAACUGUCUUGUUCUGUGA
rnacentral:rRNA from 1 species